rnacentral:misc_RNA from 1 species
AGCGAUUAUUAGGUGAAUUAUGUGGCAUACAUCUCGGAGUACGGCGCGCGUAGUGAGACCCGAAGCUAACGUGGCCAGAUCUUCAAAAGCGCGCUUUUGCAUUUUGUUUAUUUGGACACUGACCAAUAAUCAAUAACCAUUGUCCACGCUUUGAAAAAGAGAGACUUUAGGGUUUUAGCACUCUUCAAAUCCCAAUCAUGUUCAAAACGGUCUAUUUCUUUCCUCUGUUGCUUAAUUUCAAUGCUGCCUUCUGUUUAUUGGAAUUAAGAUAAUGGCGCCUUUUUUUCAGGAGGAGGAAGAAGAAGAAGAAUUUAGAGUUCAGUUGAAGCACUUAGAGGAGUCUGCAGAAGCCAAUCCUGAAGACCCCUCUCUUCGUUUCAAUCUCGGGCUUCUCUUAUGGGAAAAAGGAGGUCAAUCCAAGGAAAUCAAGGACAAAGCGGCCGAACAUUUUGUUAUUUCUGCCAAACUGAAUCCCCAUAACGCUGCCUCUUUCGCAUAUUUGGGCCAUUAUUACUCUCGCUUAUCCGCUGAUUCUCAGAGGGCUCUCAAAUGUUACCAGAGGGCCAUCACCCUUAACCCUGAUGAUUCUGAGUCUGGGGAAUCCCUCUGUGAUCUGUUGGACCAUUCUGGAAAGGAGACCUUGGAGCAGGCAGUCUGUGAGGAAGCCUCAGAAAAGUCACCCAGGGCUUUUUGGGCUUUCCGUAGAUUGGGUUACCUCCACGUCCAUCACUGCAGGUGGUCUGAAGCCGUUCGGAACCUUCAACACGCUAUUCGAGGUUAUCCCACCUGUGCUGAUUUAUGGGAAGCUCUAGGUCUUGCCUACCAGCGACUUGGCAUGUUUACUGCUGCUACUAAGUCCUAUGGGCGUGCCAUUGAAUUGGAUGAUACAAGAGUUUUUGCUUUGGUUGAAAGUGGAAAUAUCUUCUUGAUGCUCGGUUCCUUCAGAAAGGGAGUUGAGCAGUUUCUGCAAGCUCUAAAAUUUUCACCUCAAAAUGUGUCUGCAAAGUAUGGACUAGCUUCUGGACUCCUUGGUUUGUCAAACUAAUGUAUGAAUUUGGGUGCAUUCAAAUGGGGAGCAUCAUUAUUAAACGGAAAGUUGCAGAUGUAAAUGCUUGGCUGGCUGGAAAUGUCUCAUUUAUCUGGAAGUUGCAUGGUGACAUCCAACUCUCCUAUGCAAAAUGUUUUCCUUGGACAAAAGCGGACCAUGGUGCUGAAUUUGAUGUGGAGGCUUCUAUAUUUUCUUGGAAGCAAACCUGCCAUUUGGCUGCUAUGUCUGCCAAAAGGUCUUAUCAACAGGCUUUGCAUUUGGCCCCAUGGCAGGCUAACCUCUAUAUUGAUAUUGCAAUAACUUUGGAUCUCAUUUCUUCUAUGAAUGAAAAUUUAUGGCUUGACUUGUAUCCUUGCUAUCAGAGAGGAUGGCUCUAGGGGCUUGUUACUUGAGGGUGACAAUUAUGAGUUCUGGGUGGCACUAGGGUGUCUAUCUAGAUAUAAUGCAAUGAAACAACAUGCCUUGAUCAGGGGAUUGCAAUUGGAUGUAUCAUCAGCUGUUGCUUGGUCAUAUCUCAGGAAGCUUUAUAGAGAAGAAGGUCAGAAGAAGUUGGCAAGACAGGCAUUUGAUUGUGCUAGAAGUGUAGAUCCUUCACUUGCAUUACGUGGGCAGGAAUGGCAGCUGAAGCUAAUGCUAGCUUGCAGAAUUCCAAAUUGGUCUUGCUAAGCUAGCUUUGCUUUCAGGGAACCUUGCAUCUUCACAGGUAUGUGGAGCCAUCCAGCAGGUAUCCAGAAUCUCGUAAUUUGAAAGGCUUAGUUUGCGAGGCACGGUCUGAGUAUCAAACUGCUGUUGCUUCAUAUAAGCUAGCACGCUGUGCAAUCAACAUUUCACCAGGCACUGCUUCUAAAUCUCAUCUCUGAGAUAUAGCAGUUAACUUGGGCUGAUCUCUUUGUAGGGCAGGGUACGCUGCAGAUGCUGUUCAAGAAUGUGAAAAUUUGAAGAAAGUAGGUUUGGUUCAGUAUAUGAAUAUUUAUCUGCAGGAAACAAGAGAACUGAUGUAUAAUUGCUUCAUAUUCUGGUUUAGUGCUCUUUUCUUUUUAUGUGUUCUCCUAAAUUUGUAAAAGAUGAGGUAAAAUCAUGAGUGAAACAGCAACUAGAUUAACAAGUAAAACCUCUUUUGUCAAAGCUUAUCACUUGGUUUGCAACUUGCAGUUCAUUUUUGCAUCCUAUGUUGUAUUGUUACUAGUUUAUUUAGAAGUAUGAAAAAAUUUGUGGAGUUGUUUCUUAAGCUUGCAAUUUGAUUAAGUUUUAUUUGUUUAAGGUGGCUUGAUGAGAAGGCAUACUGAGACAUAUGCUUUCUUACUAUGGCAACUUGGUAAGAGCGAUCUUGCCCUCUAUGGUGAGGAAUCUGGCUGCCAGUGCCAGUUCAAUGGAGCAAACAUCUGCAGCUGUUUCUGUUAGUUUCUUCUGCAGAUUGCUAUAUUACAUUUCUGGACUAGAUUCAGCAAUUGCUAGCAUUUUGAAAAUGCCAAAAGAACUGUUUGAGAAAUCAAAAGUCAGCUUUAUACUGUCUACUAUACAUGCUCCUGAUCAGAGUAACUGACUUGAGUAGGUUAUUUCAACUAGUCGAUACUCCAUUUUAUCUCAUGAACAUGUCAAUGGAAUGCACUGCUUAAUAGCACUAGGUAAAUUGGUAAGUUUCUUGCUUUUCUCAUUGGAACUUGAAGAUCUUAUUCUAAGCUUAGGGUAGCACUUGUAUAUAGGUUUUGAAGUUUAACAGUAGAAAAUUUAUUUGUUGGUUCGUGCACGUGAAGCAUGGAUCAGAUUCUUGCCUUGGAUUUCAGAAUGGAAUUUGUUACCUUAAAAAAGCUCUUCAUAAGUUCCCCAACAGUGAAUUGAUGAGGUACAAUGUAACUUGAAACAAGAACCAUGCAUUAUACCUAGCAAUGCUGAAAGUUUCUGCAUCUGCCGUUGUUGUCCACCUUCCUUUGCAACCUGCAUCCAGAUUUCUGCUACUUGGCAAGAACCUAUCUAGCUGCUCAAGUAUUUAUUGAACAUAGUCCAUGGGAUUAUUUGUAUGAAAUAGUUUGCAGGACCUGAGAAAGAUCUAACUGAUAGAAUAAAACAUAUUUAUAAAUCAUGAUGCAUUUGUUAAACAAUUAUUUCAUUAAGAGUGGAGUGAAUACGUUGAUAGUGACACACUAAUACAAUGUUGAGCCUAUUAAUUCUUUUAUUUACUCUUCCUCCACCAUUCAGUUUUGAGCAUUUGAUUGGGGAUAGCAAAACUUGGUGAGCAAGAGAUUUUUGGCCAUAUUGUUUUCUUAAAUUUUGCAUUGUGGUUGUUGCUUUAAUGCAUCUGUGGGCUUACAGUGUUGGAUGCAUCAAUUCCAUCAUAACUAAUCUUGUCUAUAGAGACAGAUCUAGAACUUUAAGUUUGCUGAUUUUCAGGGCCACGGUGUGCAAAUGCUCUCAUAUGGUACUCAAUCUGGCUAUUAGCUAUUAGUAAUUUUAUAUUAUGCUUGUUGACCCAUCAUUAAUGUUAACUGUUUUAUCUUUCUUGUACUCUUGACACACAUUAUGGGAACAGGAACUUGCUUGGUCACCUUUUGCUAUCCACUGAGGAAUGGGGACACACUCAUGUAGCAAGUAGGUGCUGCAUUAUAGAUUCUACUUACAGUGGCAACAAAGUAGGUUUAAAUCUGGAUGGGAGAUCCUUGGUGCUGGUGCAGUUACUUUCUGUGCAAUUGGCAAUAAAGAUCCAAAGUUUCCUUUCCCAACAUGUGGUUAUCAGUGUCUGAAUGGACCUGGAGCCAUUCAAGAACUCCAGAAAAGGCACGUGAAGAGAGAUUUCCUCGGCAACUCUGUGUGAUAGUCAAGCAACUGCUUUUAGUGGCACUUUCCACGGAGCUAUACUCUAGCGAAAGCUUUUCAUAUCAAUAUCAAAUGUUUCAGCUUCUGCUUUGUCUUUCUGAAAUUAGUUUGCAAUGUGGGAAUCGACUUGACUGUAUUGAGCAUGCUAAAUGUGCUGUGUCGCUGUGUAUCCCUAAUAGCUACCUUUUCUUGGACACUUACUGUUAUGUCGAGCCCAUGCUAUUGAAGGCAACUUUCUAAACCUUCAGGAAGAGUAUAGAAGAUGCCUGGAGCUUAAGACAGAUUAUCAUAUAGGAUUGACAUGUCUUAAAAUCAUGGAAUCCCGAUAUGACAUUCAAACUGAUUCAAAUAUCUCAGAGCUGAGUUUCAAGGAAUGUUUAAAAGAAUGGAAGAAUUCAUGGAAUGUGGACGGCUGUAUUUAGUUUGGUUUUGGGUUUAAUAUCUAUAUGGAAUUAGGAUUUUUUAUCUGCCGAAGAAUUUCUUUCUCAAGCUUGUUUGCUGGCUGGUGCUGACAGCUGUCUUUUUCUCUAUCAUGGUAUUCAUCAAUUGGCAGUUUGGUUUUGAAGUGUUUUUUGCCAUUAUUGCUUUCCACUGGAAUUACUUUAGUUAUAAAAUCAAUGUUUCUAUCAAAUUUUAGUAAAUAUUGCAUUGAUUUGUCUUUCUGUAAUUUAGUAUUUAAUGUCUGAUAAAAUUCUACUACAAGUCUGUCACGUUGGUGACAAAGACAUGGUUUAGAGUUGCAUUUAUAUUCAUUAGGAUUAAUUUUUUAGAAAGCAAUGAUGACAUGUCUUGAAUUUAUAGGGAGAAUUAGUUUUUUUCGGUACUUAAAGAGCUUGAGGGUCAUUUCUCUGGCAUGUUAUUUUUGCUAUUGUGAAAUCAAUGAACGUAAGCCAGUUUCAUAAGUUUGCAAUAGUACAUAUAUUUUUUUAAGUUUUACAGCUUGAGUUUUCUCUCUAUAACAGGCAGAUUGAUGCUUAUUGAUAAAUAUAGAAAAUGGAUUGGUGACUCUCACAUUUCUGAUCUGAUCACUAAUGAAUCCAGAAGGGAGCCUUGACUCUAAGUAGAAAUGGGAGAAGAAUCUCCGCUUGAAUGGUAUUCUUGGCCGCCAGCUAUGAUUAUGAUCCAUGUACACUCGUGUGUGUUUGCAAAGGAGAAAGUUGUUUAUUUUUGGCACAAGCAGAAGGGAGCCUUGACUCUAAGCAGAAAUGGGAGAAGAAUCUCUGCUUGAAUGGUAUUCUUGGCCACCAGAAACGAGACCUGCAGAACUGUUCUUUCAAAUGCAUUUGCUUGCAAAUUGAUCAGAAGCUCAAGUUGACUCCUCAUCCAAUGUGGAAUUCUAUCAAAGCCCGCAGAAAUGGGUUCUUUGGUCUAUUCAUACAGAUCCAUCUUGUUUGAGAUAUUGGAAGGUUUUACAGAAGAUUAUGGAAUAAGUUGCACCACUCCUCAAGAGUGCACUCUCGGGAAAGACAAGGGGAAGAUGUGUAAUUUUUCAAAGAUCCUGCAUCACAUGGUGUGUUCAAUGUUGUGUACGCUGUGAUUGGAAGUUAGUUACACCGGUGCGCUCUAUGCUCAUGGAAGAUCCAUGUUGGUUCCACGUAUAUCAACGACUGACGGUAUAGUUGCAAGAGACAACUGCGCCUUGUAUUCUUAAUGAAUCGGGCUCUCAGUAGAUGCAUCAGCUGAUAUCAUUUUGAUUUUGUGCUACCCCCUUUUGUCUAAAUCGAAACAUUGUUAUUUACUGUAGGAUGUUAAUACCUGAGAGUUUAGUCAUUAAAGAAACCAAUGUCCAAGCACCCAAAAAGGGGGUCAAGAAUAGGAUGUAUAUGCAUUUGAAAUUUCUGACUAGACGCUGCUAUAAAAAUUUCCAUUAUUCAGAUCCUUAUUAGACAUUUUUUGGAUGAGUUUAGAAAUUGUAAUUAAAUUGCUAUUGUGUUUGAAAGUGAAUACAUCUGGACCCAUAUUAUCCUGGAACACUCGGCUUAUAGUACAGAUUAUUCAUGGCGAUGUAUCAAUCUACUGUGCAAGGUGGAUGGUGCAAGUACCUCACAAUCUUCAGCAAUGUUUACCUGCCACUGCUCAUAGACCUUGAGCUUUGAAGUUCGAGAGAAGGUUCCCAAUCCAGCGAAGAUGAGAGAAUCUUGGAUAAAGUCAUGAUAACUUGAGGAAUGGAGGGACGAGCAUUGAUAUCACGAGUGACGCAGUUUUUAGCCAGGUUAGCUAGGGAGAAGGCUACGUCCAAUGGGUACUCGUUUCCCAGAGAAGGAUCGAUGAAGUCAAGGAAUUUCUCUCUUACAUUGUCCCCCUCCAGUACCAAGCUUAUUGAUGCUGAGAGCAUUUCCUUGUCACCAGCAGCAGCUUCCUUUCCAGACAAGAGCUCCAAAAUCACAACCCCAAAUGCGAAGACAUCUAACUUGGGGGUAAUGAGACCAUUCUCGACGUACUCAGGGGCCAUAUAGCCUUGAGUUCCCACAACAUGUCUUGUGAGUUGCAGUCCGCCUUCGUCUUCAUUUUCCAACGUUCUUGCCAAGCCGAAGUUACCAAUCUUGGCUCUAAAUCCGGCAUCCAGGAAAAUGUUACUGGUCUUCAAGUUCUUGUAGAUAAAAGGGGGGUUAGUGUAAUUGUGGAGGUAAUUAAGGGCAUCAGCCACAUCGUAGGCAAUCUGAACUCUCUGCUUCCACGUAAGAGUAGGAAUCCGGUACAAGCUGUCGUCAGAAUGAAGCCAAUCGCAGAGAGCACCAUUCUCGGCGAACUCGUAAACUAGAAAGGUGUUUCCCUCGUGUAAGCAGAAGCCAGAGAGCCUGAUGAUGUUGAAAUGAUUGAUCUUCUUUAGAAUGUUGAUCUCCCUCGAGACAUCUCCUUUCAUGACCUUGACGGCGGCGGCAUCACCCUUAAAUGAUCCCUUAUAAACCAACCCUUUAAUUCUACUAUUUUCACCGAAAUAACCGGUGGCCAUUUCCAAGUCCUCGAAUUUGUAGAGAGUCAAAGACUCAAUCGCAUAUCUGAUUCCAAGGGAUGAGAGAGACCCAGAUUGGCUAUCUUGGACUGGAACAGCGGAGUAAUCAGCCGACUCCGAUUGUAACGCCUUGGGUUCUGAGGUGGAGACAGGCUUGGCCUCAUGAGACUUGGACUUGCGGUUCCAGAACAGGAAUGCAAACACGGCUAAAACAAUAAGUAUAGCAACUCCUGACCCAACACCCACAUAUACCCAUUUUCGGUUACUGGAAGAGUUGGAUCCCCCACCAGGGAAGAUGGGAGUUUGCGGAGAAGGUGAUGCAGGCGGAGGUACCACUGCCCGAUUGAUCUUCGUGGGCUCCCUAGUCAAAGGAACCAGAAUUGGAGUGAACGGGAAGAUGAUGCUGGAGGAGGUCAGUUUAUUUGCAUCCAACACGGUCUGUUGGUCGACGCUGAAUAAUUGGGCGAUGGAAGAAAUGGAAUCGCCCCAGGUAACCAUGUAGGUGAGCAAGUACUUGAACCCCAAAGCGGUCUGAUUGGAAGUGGGGCAAGCACACCUGAGGGGAACUUCCAGACUCAUAUUCACCAACAGAUUUCUAUCCCCAUAAGGGUUUUGAUCCAUCAUCGCUUGACAAGUGGAGAGGCCCUGGUAAGUGUUGUUGGCGACGGAGAAGUAUGUUUCGGAUGGGAGCUUGAGAUUGUAGGUUGCGUUGUGCUGGUAAUACUGGCGAGAGAAACAGGAACAAUUGACGGGGAUAAUCACCUGGGUGUCAGUAGGGAUAGAGGCGACAUCGGAGGAGAUGUUGUUGAUGGAGGCUAUGCGAGUGGCUGAGGCUGUCAGAAGGUAGGCGAUGGCGACUGGGGUGUUGUAGGUAGGAUCAGACCGGAAGGUGAGAAAGGAUUGGCAUGAUGAUUGAAGGCCAUUGCAUUCAUAUCCUUUGGUGGUGUAAUUGAAGUUGGUGUUGUAACAGUCGAGCUGUUUAUUGUUCACAUAAGUUUGCUGGGCUUGUACUUGAGAAUGGAUUAGCCAAGCCAUAGCCACUAGCAACAGCAGCCCAUCUAGUUUCUUUGACAUCCAUUGAGGAACAGAAUACAUGGGCGCAAAUUCAAGGUGAAGAUUUCUUCUCUCUGUGCGUAUGAAAAGAGUUAACAGGGUAACUGAAGGUAGAAGAUGGGCAGAAUGGGGAUUGGGCUGUUCAACCCUCAUUUGCUUGUUAUUAAACUCAUUUGUUGAAAACUAAGGAAAGAAUGUGAUAAAAGUCAACAGGGGACCUACAAAUUGGAAGUCUGUGAACCGUGUAAAGACGUCAAGAG